CGCUGUGUAUAAGUGCACAGUAUUUGUGUAGGCUCUUCCAUCAAACUUCCUGUCGAUUUUUAUCCAACUAGUUCAAACCAGUUUAAUUUCGCAAAGUUGUUAAUUUCUAAAAUUCAAAAUUGAAACAGAAAUUAACAAAUUAAUUUAUUAACUAAAACACUAUUUGUGUCACAAUAUAACAGAAAAGUUAUAUUACAACAGUCUUUUCCUUUGAGGUCAAUUUCUGACGCGCACAUUUUCAAGUCAGUUGUCAGCGGUGGACGCACAAGGAGAAUCGGGUAGGUCUUUAUUUACUAAAUUAAUCGUAAAUAUUCCGCCGGUUAAUAUUGUAGCAUUGGUAAAUAUGUUCAUAUCUGAUAGAGGAUUCCUUGAUAAAGUUUUGCUGACAUUCGAGACUUGGCAGGAGGGGCCCUUUCAGUUUGACAGAUCUCCAUUUAUACUUGCGGUGGCUACACCUUGUAAAGUUGGUGCCCUUUGUGCAUCUGACGGUUUCAAAUGCUGUAUAACAUGAUGAUUAAAAUUAAUACUGGGUGACAAUCUUGUUGCAUUUGUAAAAUGGAUUGGAAACCUUGGUGGUAUAUUGGUAAUUACGCCUAUUUCUUUUUAUAGGAGAAUGGGGUUCGAUUCCCUGCUAGGGUCAAUCCAUUUUAUCAGAAAUAUGAAACAAUUUUGUCAUGUCAGUACAACAGUAAUAAUAACCUAUACUUUAUUUUAUAUUUUAUCGUCGGAACAUAUGUUUCAAUGAAAUUAUUAUAUACAAUGACAUGCCUUUUUAACAGGAGAG
rnacentral:lncRNA from 1 species